UACAGAGGGUGCAAGCGUUAAUCGGAAUUAUUGGGCGUAAAGAGCUUGUAGGCGGUCUGUCGCGUCUGCUGUGAAAAUCCGGGGCUCAACCCCGGACUUGCAGUGGGUACGGGCAGACUAGAGUGUGGUAGGGGAGACUGGAAUUCCUGGUGUAGCGGUGAAAUGCGCAGAUAUCAGGAGGAACACCGAUGGCGAAGGCAGGUCUCUGGGCCACUACUGACGCUGAGAAGCGAAAGCAUGGGGAGCGAACAGG
rnacentral:rRNA from 1 species